GCCUGGGUGGCUCAGUGGGUUGAGCGUCCGACUUCGGCUCAGGUCAAUCAUGACAGGACACAAACAGGACGAAUCACAGUUAGUGGGUUCGAGCCCCGCAUCGGGCU
rnacentral:tRNA from 1 species